rnacentral:rRNA from 1 species
AUUGAACGCUGGCGGCAUGCCUUACACAUGCAAGUCGAACGGCAGCGCGGGAGCAAUCCUGGCGGCGAGUGGCGAACGGGUGAGUAGUGCAUCGGAACGUGCCCAGUUGUGGGGAUAGCCCGGCGAAAGCCGGAUUAAUACCGCAUGAGACCUGAGGGUGAAAGCGGGGGAUCGAAAGACCUCGCGCGACUGGAGCGGCCGAUGUCAGAUUAGGUAGUUGGUGGGGUAAGGGCCUACCAAGCCUGCGAUCUGUAGCUGGUCUGAGAGGACGACCAGCAACACGGGGAAUGAGAGACGGCCCAGACUCCUACGGGAGGCAGCAGUGGGGAAUUUUGGAAAAUGGGCGCAAGCCUGAUCCAGCCAUGCCGCGUGCGGGAAGAAGGCCUUCGGGUUGUAAACCGCUUUUGUCGGGGAAGAAACGGCCUGGGCUAAUACCUUGGGCUAAUGAUGGUACCCGAAGAAUAAGCACCGGCUAACUACGUGCCAGCCGCCGCAGUAA